UACGGGGGGGCAAGCGUUGUUCGGAAUUACUGGGCGUAAAGGGCUUGUAGGUGGCCAACUAAGUCAGACGUGAAAUCCCUCGGCUUAACCGGGGAACUGCGUCUGAUACUGGAUGGCUAGAGUUUGGGAGAGGGAUGCGGAAUUCCAGGUGUAGCGGUGAAAUGCGUAGAUAUCUGGAGGAACACCGGUGGCGAAGGCGGCAUCCUGGACCAACACUGACACUGAAAAGCGAAAGCCAGGGGAGCAAACGGG
rnacentral:rRNA from 1 species